rnacentral:lncRNA from 10 species
CACAUACGUGUAUAUACAUGUAUAUAUGUAUACAUACAUAUAUAUACAUGUAUAUAUAUUUGUUUGUUUUUAAGACAGAGUCUCGCUCUGUCACCCAGGCUGGAGUGCAGUGGUGUGAUCUCGGCUCACUGCAGCCUCCGCCUCUUGGGUUGAAGCGAUUCUCCUUCCUCAGCCUCCCUAGUAGCUGGGAUUACAGGCAUGUGCCACCACGCCCAGCUAAUUUUUGUAUUUUUACUUUAUAUUUUUUAACUCAUGGCUGAGCCUCUGCAUCUCAGCUGGCCUGGGAGGAGGCUUCCUGAUCUAUGGUUGAGCAAUUGGAGGGACAGAGAGGGGAGGACAGGUGAGGAGUCAGGCCGAUCCAGCAUCACCUCUGUGCUGGGUGAUCUUGGGUGGGUGCCAUCCCUUCCCUGGGCCUUAGUCUACUCUUCGGUCAUUGUGGCUGGUUGGGUAUAGAGUGGCCUAGCCUGAGCCCGGCUCACAGUGAGUGCUCACCUGUUGGGGCUGAUGUGGUCAUCCCCGAAGUCAUUACCAGCCUCACCUUGCUGGUCAGGGUGGGCCCAGCCAGUCCAAGGGCUGCUGAUGUCCCCCGGCCCUUUGGAUCAUCUCUUGUGCAGCUGAAACCCUGGCUUAGGGGAAGAGGAACCGCCUGGGAGGGGCUGGGGGAGAUCCUGGGUUCCCCUCUGGCACUAACCAAUGUGGCCACCAGAGGGCGCAAGGUGGCAGAGCCUGGACUUGGCCAGGAUGCUCUCUGCUGGGUUGGGGCCAACACCAGGAAGGAAGCAUGGGCCAUAGGGAAGCUCCCAUUGGUGCUGGGGCAACCCGCAGCAGCUCUGCGUCUUCUGCUCUUCUGAUGGGAACUGCAGGCCUCUCCCCUGGCCCCAGAGAGUCGGGCUUCUGGGCCCAGCCGCUGUCUGUCAUGCCUGCACUCAGGCAGCUGGAGGGGUGGGAGGGGAGAUGGCUCCUGGCCUUGGCCAUGGCUGCUUUGGCUUCCACCGUUCCUGCUCCUCUUCCAUGUGUCCCCUUCAUUCAUUUGUUAACCUUUAUUAAGCACCUCCCAUGGGCCGCAGUCAGGCCCUGGGGAUUCAGCAGUGAAUGAAACUGACAAAACCCCUGACCUCAUUAAACUGACAUUCUUUUUUUUCUUUUUUUUUUGUGGCGGAGUCUCACUCUAUCACCUUCUGUCACCACACCCGGCCAAAACUGACAUCCUAAUGAGGGAUGCAGACAAAAACAAAGAAAGAUCAGAGGGUGUGAAUUGCUAUAGAGAAAAAUGAGAAGCGGAGAGAUACAAAGUAAGAUCUGAGAAGUUAACACCUGAACAAAGACGCAGGAGUGGGCCAGGCAUAGUUGCUCAUGCCUGUAAUCCUAGCACUUUGGAAGGCCUAAGCAGAUGGAUCACUGGAGGCCAGGAGUUUGAGACCAGCCUGGCCAACAUAGGGAAAUCCCAUCUCUAUUAAAAAUACAAAAAUUAGUCAGGUGUGCUAGCGGGCGCCUGUAAUGCCAGCUACUCGGGAGACUGAAGCAGGAGAAUCACUUGAACCUGGGAGGUGGAGGUUGCAGUGAGCUGAGCUUGCACCACUGCACUCCAGCUUGGGCGACAGAGUGAGACUCCAUCUCAAAAACAAAAGACUUCGCCAGGCAGGGUGGCUCACACCUGUAAUCCCACCAUUUUGGGAGGGCGAGGCAGGUGGAUCACGAGGUCAGGAGUUCAAGACCAGCCUGGCCAAGAGGGUGAAACCCCGUCUCUACUAAAAAUACAAAAAUUAGCCAGGUGUGGUGGUGGGCGCCUGUAGUCCCAGCUACGUGGGAGGCUGAGGAAGAGAAUUGCUUGAACCUGGGAGGCAGAGGUUGCAGUGAGCCGAGAUCAAACCACUGCACUC